AAAAUAAACACCUAUAUACCCUGCAUUUAGAUUUACCAAUUGUUUACUUUCUACGUUUGUUUUACAUUUGUCUGUAAAUAUACAUACAUAUGCAUGUACAUAGUAUGUAUAUGUAUAUAAAAACAUUUUUCCUUAACCAUGAUUAUUUGCAGACACCCUGAGUAUUCCUUCCUAAAUACUUCAGCAUACAUUUUCUAAGAACAAAAACAUUUUAUUUCUUAAAUACAAUUGUCGUAUUUAGGACACUGAAUAUUGACAAAUAUUUGUAUACAUAUACACUUAAAAAAUUUUUUUUAUUUAGGAGAUGGGAUCUUGCUCUGUCACCCAGGCUGAAGAGCAGUUGCUCAAAUCACUGCAACUGAACCGAGCCUUCAACUGUUGGGUUCAAAUGAUCCUCACCACUCAGCCUCUUGAAUAGCUGGGACUACAGAUCUUUGCUGUUCACCUUCAAGCUGAGGACUUACCACUUUUCUUCGAUUAUGAAAAAUGCUCAGCCAAUAGCUAUUCAUUAAACAAAUAUUUAUGAGGUGUCAACAA
rnacentral:lncRNA from 1 species